rnacentral:rRNA from 1 species
GACGAACGCUGGCGGCGUGCCUAAUACAUGCAAGUAGAACGCUGAAGGAAGGAGCUUGCUCUUUCUGGAUGAGUUGCGAACGGGUGAGUAACGCGUAGGUAACCUGCCUGGUAGCGGGGGAUAACUAUUGGAAACGAUAGCUAAUACCGCAUAAAAUUGAUUAUUGCAUGAUAGUCAAUUAAAAGGUGCAACUGCACCACUACCAGAUGGACCUGCGUUGUAUUAGCUAGUUGGUGGGGUAACGGCUCACCAAGGCGACGAUACAUAGCCGACCUGAGAGGGUGAUCGGCCACACUGGGACUGAGACACGGCCCAGACUCCUACGGGAGGCAGCAGUAGGGAAUCUUCGGCAAUGGACGGAAGUCUGACCGAGCAACGCCGCGUGAGUGAAGAAGGUUUUCGGAUCGUAAAGCUCUGUUGUAAGAGGAGAACGAGUGUGAGAGUGGAAAGUUCACACUGUGACGGUAUCUUACCAGAAAGGGACGGCUAACUACGUG